rnacentral:rRNA from 1 species
UACAGAGGUGGCAAGCGUUGUUCGGAAUUACUGGGCGUAAAGGGCGCGUAGGCGGUUCGUUAAGUCCUGUGUGAAAUCCCCCGGCUCAACUGGGGAACUGCACAGGAAACUAGCGGGCUUGAGUUCGGGAGAGGGAUGCGGAAUUCCGGGUGUAGCGGUGAAAUGCGUAGAUAUCCGGAGGAACACCAGUGGCGAAGGCGACUUCCUGGCCUGUUCUUGACGCUGAGGCGCGAAAGCUAGGGGAGCAAACGGG